UUGACCUCGAAUCAGGUAGGAAUACCCGCUGAACUUAAGCAUAUCAAUAAGCGGAGGAAAAGAAACCAACCGGGAUUACCUCAGUAACGGCAGGGAAAGGCGGC
rnacentral:rRNA from 1 species